AGAGUUUGAUCAUGGCUCAGAUUGAACGCUGGCGGUAUGCUUAACACAUGCAAGUCGAACGGUAACAGCAUCUAGCUUGCUAGAUGGCUGACGAGUGGCGGACGGGUGAGUAACGCGUAGGAAUCUGUCUAAGUGUCUGGGACAACACGGGGAAACUCGUGCUAAUACCGGAUAAUCUUUUCGAAGGAAAGGUGGGGUUUUACCCUGUCGCACAUAGGUGAGCCUGCGUUAGAUUAGCUUGUUGGUGGGGUAAUGGCCUACCAAGGCAACGAUCUAUAGCUGUUCUGAGAGGAAGAUCAGCCACACUGGGACUGAGACACGGCCCAGACUCCUACGGGAGGCAGCAGUGGGGAAUAUUGGACAACGGGGGCAACCCUGAUCCAGCAAUACCGCGUGUGUGAAGAAGGCCUGAGGGUUGUAAAGCACUUUCAGCGAGGAGGAAGGGCAUAUGGUUAAUACCCAUAUGUUUUGACGUUACUCGCAGAAGAAGCACCGGCUAACUCUGUGCCAGCAGCCGCGGUAAUACAGAGGGUGCAAGCGUUAAUCGGAAUUACUGGGCGUAAAGCGUGCGUAGGCGGAUGCUUAAGUCAGAUGUGAAAGCCCUGGGCUUAACCUAGGAACUGCAUCUGAUACUGGGCAUCUAGAGUAUGGUAGAGGAUAGUGGAAUUUCAGGUGUAGCGGUGAAAUGCGUAGAGAUCUGAAGGAACACCAGUGGCGAAGGCGACUGUCUGGGCCAAUACUGACGCUGAGGUACGAAAGCAUGGGGAGCGAACGGGAUUAGAUACCCCGGUAGUCCAUGCCGUAAACGAUGGGUACUAGGUGUUGGAGGAUUCUACCCCUUCAGUGCCGCAGCUAACGCAUUAAGUACCCCACCUGGGGAGUACGAUCGCAAGGUUGAAACUCAAAGGAAUUGACGGGGGCCCGCACAAGCGGUGGAGCAUGUGGUUUAAUUCGAUGCAACGCGAAGAACCUUACCAGGGCUUGACAUGC
rnacentral:rRNA from 1 species